GUGAGCGUAGCUCAGCCGGGAGAGCAUGGGACUGUGGCUCCCAGGGUCGCGGGUUCGAUCCCCGUCGCUCACCCCA
rnacentral:tRNA from 1 species